rnacentral:rRNA from 1 species
AUACGGAGGACGCGAGCGUUAUCCGGAUUCAUUGGGUUUAAAGGGUGCGCAGGCGGCCGUGCAAGUCAGCGGUGAAAGCCCGGGGCUCAACCCCGGAAGUGCCGUUGAUACUGCAUGGCUGGAAUGCGGUCGAGGCGGGCGGGACGUGGCGUGUAGCGGUGAAAUGCGUAGAUAUGCCACAGAACGGCGUGAGCGGAGGCAGCUCGCCAGGCCUGCAUUGACGCUCGGGCACGAAAGCGUGGGGAGCGAACAGGAUUAGAUACCCUGGUAGUCCACGCCGUAAACGAUGGGCGCUCGUCGUCGGCGGCAGACAGUCGGCGGCCAAGCGAAAGCGAUAAGCGCCCCACCUGGGGAGUACGGUCGCAAGGCUGAAACUCAAAUGAAUUGGCGGGG